GCAAUCAGACAGAGAGAAUUGUGAUGUCAACUUUCCCCAGAUGGCAUCUUGCCCAGCUCCACUCAGUCCUGAUAGUGCCAUUGCAGGAAAGAAAAAACUGACUCAAGUGGGUCCUCAUCCCAUCCUGGCAGUUCCAUCAGAGAAUGACAAUGGUAAAAGUAACCACCAGAGGAUGGUAGGGGAAAGAGAGAAGACUCCACAGCAAACCAUGCCCUCACAUGAGUCACAAUGGCAUUCAUUAGUUUCAAAGAAGUGAUGAAAAUGCCUUAUUCUGAUCAAAGUACUGUUUUAUUUCAGGACUGUCACAAGUACAAACUAAAGUUUAGAUAAGAAGAAAAUUGGAUGUAACGAGGAUGUAAUGAAAUACCCAAAAAGGAAAAAAGAUAUAGUUGAGGCUGGCAACCUGAACAGGAGCAUGUUUACAACAUUUAUGUUCUUUGACUAUGGGAAAGGAUCUCAUUACUCAUAGGUAUCAGCAACUGAGGCUAAAAGAUAUGACGCCGGAAGAUGAGCCCCUCAGGUCGGAAGGUGUCCAAUAUGCUACUGGGGAA